GACGGAAGGUGCAAGCGUUGCUCGGAAUCACUGGGCGUAAAGGGUGCGUAGGCGGCCGUGCAAGUCUGGCGUGAAAGCCCCGGGCUCAGCCCGGGAAGUGCGCUCGAAACUGCGCGGCUCGAGUGCCGGAGGGGAGAGUGGAAUUCCUGGUGUAGCGGUGAAAUGCGUAGAUAUUGGGAGGAACACCAGUGGCGAAGGCGGCUCACUGGACCGGAACUGACGCUGAGGCGCGAAAGCGUGGGGAGCAAACGGG
rnacentral:rRNA from 1 species